GUUGUCUCUGAGACUGAAGGUUUGCUGAAAGAACUGGAGAAAAUGCUGCAACAAAUCCAAGAACCCACAGCAAGAGAGGAUGAGUCACAGGGAGAGCAGAUGUCACAUGGAUUCAUUACACUGAUGACUUCAUGCUCCCUGGACCUUGUGAGCCAAAAGCAGCAACUGUUAGCAUCUGUGUUUCAGAGGGUGAGACAAAAACUCCUCAGGGAUUUCAGAGCUUUCUGAAAGCCCGUGGAUACAUUGCUAUCAGAAAAGGUAAGUCUGGAUAUGUAGUGUCUUCAGAAUAAUUGCUCCUUUCGUGAUACAAUUGGUCCAGUGUAAUCUAAGAAGCUAGGUUGUCAGGCCGAGCAGUGAUCCCACAUGGAGGACUUGAGUUUGCUCUCUGCUGCUAGCAGGACUGCACACCUAGCAGUCAGUGGGACCAAAUUCAUCUUGGUGAGUAACCUUUCUCAGGUGCCAGUAUCUCUUCUAUGGCGAAAGAUUAGUUGGCAUGCCUCCUUCUGAUGGCUAAGAGAGAAGCAUAAUGCUCAUUGGGUCUCUGUAGAGGUGGAGGCAAUGUAUUCCUGAGCUAUACCUAUUAGUGUGGUCCAUUUACCAAGUGACUCACCACAUGCUAGUUUUGAGGUAUACCUGGGCAAGGGAAGGCUCUGCACUGGUCAAGGCCUGAACUAUGGUAUGGCUUUUGGAGGGCAGGUGUGGUACCAAAUCGAUGGAGAUACCUUACAAGGGUAGGACAAGAAGGCUAUACAUGCUUGAAUCUCACAGCCAAGAAUCAAGGACUGGAUACGGGAGUGGCAGCCCCCAUCCUUUGAACUCACCAGCAUCCGCCAUUUGCCAUCCUUCAGCCUUAUGCUCUGUGACAGUUAAUGGGUUAAUCUUCACUGUCAACAUGAAUAGUCUGUCCACCACCUCUGGGCAUAUCUGUAAGGAAGUUUCUAGAAGAGUUUAACUGUGUAGGGAAGAUGCACUCUGGAUGUAGGCGGCAUCAGUGCAAGGGUGGAGUCCUUGGCUGAGUAAAACUGAGUUGAGUACAGCAUUGGUGUCUUCCUGCUUUUUAUCUGUAGAUGCAAUACAGCCAGCUGCUUCUCAUGUCCCUCUGUACACCUUCCCCACCAUGAGGGACUCUCACACCUUAGACCCAAGUAAACCAAACCCUUCCUUCCUGUCACGGUCUCGCUGUAAAUUUUAUUACAGUGAGA
rnacentral:lncRNA from 1 species